UUUGCUGCGGCUGGGCUGUCUGCGGCAGCCCGCUCCCGCGAGCCGUGCGGGGAAGCGGGGCGCAGCCCCCGCCUCAGGGGCACACGGCGUAGCGUCCCCGGGCCUGCCCAGAGCGUGGUGGAAGGGCCCAGCCACGAACACUCCCGCCCAGGCUGCCAGGCCGGGCGGACGCUCAUGGCUAGUGUCUGACGCCCGCCUCCCGCGGGGACUGAGCAGAGAGCCCGCCCCCCUCCCGGCGGCUGAGGAGCAGCUCCGGGUCCAUCCGUGGCAAUAACUGGCCCCAAGGGGGGCCCCGUCCGCGGGAAGCCUGCGGCAGACCCAGGAACAGAACCCUGCUCUGUCGCUAGGCAGCGCGGCCUCCCCACCUCAUGUUCAAUAGGGAUUGAUUAGACUAAUGAACAUGUCCAGCUUGAGAUGAGUCGAACACUUGGGUCUUCUCUCUCCCCCCAUCAGGCCCAUACAAGAACCCCUACGAGCUGAUUUGAGAAAGUCCAUGCAGAAAAGAGAUUAAUAAGAUCCCUGUCUCUAAGGUGCCACAAGUACUCCUUUUCUUUUUGCGAAUACAGACUAACACGGCUGUUACUCUGAAACCUGGCCUACUAGAGAGUCUGAUUUAAGGUGACUGUUCUAAUCCAGCCCAGCCUAGCAGUGCCAGAAGGUCAUUUACCAUCCAAUGGCUGUUAGGAAGCGCAUGCAGGCCAACCUGUAAACCAUGUUGUCAGUCGCCCCUCCCUCCGUCAGAGCAAUGGCAGACAAUCGUUUUGUGCCCUUUUCCCUGGAUUGCCCGAGCAGACACCAUAGCAAGCAAGCAUGGAGCCUGUUCAGCUCACCACAGCAGUUAUGACCAUUGUAAACACCUCGCACAUUAUCACGCUGUUUAUGCAGAACCACCACCUGAAAAAACUGGCGAGGAGGUGACAGCAGUGCAGUGAUGAGGACAUGAACACAGAUUUCUCUAAAACCGCAGUCCCCAGCAAUUUGGAGAUCAUGGUGUUAAUGGGGCAGGCUCAUGCCGUGAAACACCGAUUCUGGGCCCGGGAAACAAGCACAGAGUGGUGGGACCACACAGUGUUGCGGGUUUGGGAUGAUUCCCAGUGGCUCUGAAACUUUCGCAUGUGUAAGGGCACUUUUAUGGAACUUUGUGACUUGCUUUCUCCUGCCCUGAAGCGCAAGAAUAUCAAGAUGAGAGCAGCCUCACAGUUCACAAGCAAGCAAUAGCCCUGUGGAAGCUUGCAACGCCAGACAGCUACCGGUCAGUCGGGAAUCAAUUUGGAGUGGGCAAAUCUACUGUAGGGGUUGCUGUGAUGCAAGUAGCCAACGCAAUCAUUGAGCUGCCUCUAUCAAAGGUAAUGACUCUGGGAAAUGUGCAGGUCAUACUAGAUGGCUUUGCUGCAAUGGGAUUCCCUAUUUAUGGUGGGGCUAUAGAUGGAACGCAUAUCUCUUAUCUUGGGACCAGACCACCAGAGCAGCCAGUACAUAAACCACAAAGGGUACUUUUCAAUGGUGCUGCAAGUACUGGUGGAUCACAAGGGACGUUUCACCAACAUCAACGUGGGAUGGCUGGGAAAGGUUCAUGACGCUAGUGUCUUCAGGAACUCUGGUCUGUUUAAACGGCUGCAGGAAGGGAUUUACUUCCCAGACCAGAAAAUAACCAUUGGGGAUGUUGAAAUGCCUAUAGUUAUCCUCUGGGACCCAGCCUACCCCUUAAUGCCCUGGCUCAUGAAGUCGUACAUAGGCACCCUGGACAGUAGUAAGGAGCUGUUCAACUAAAGGCUGAGCAAGUGCAGAAUGGUGGUAGAAUGUGCAUUUGGACAUUUAAAGGGUCGCUGGCGCAGUUUACUGACUCGCUCAGACCUCAGCAAAACCGGUAUUCUCAUUGUUAUUGCUGCUUGCUGUGUGCUCCACAAUCUCUGUGAGAGUA